CGCAAUGGGCGAAAGCCUGACGGAGCGACGCCGCGUGAUUGAUGAAGUCCCUUUGGGACGUAAAGAUCUUUUAUGAGGGAAGAAGUUUAUUGACGGUACCUCAUGAAUAAGUAGCUUCUAAUCUCGUGCCAGCAGAAGCGGUAAUACGAGAGCUACGAGCGUUAUCCGGAAUUAUUGGGCGUAAAGGGUGCGUAGGUUGUUCUGUUAGUCUUCUGUCAAAUUCUUCGGCUCAACCGGAGACCCGCAGAGGAAACGGCAGAACUAGAAAGUGCGAGGGGCGUACGGAACUCUAGGUGUAGGGGUGAAAUCCGUUGAUAUCUAGGGGAACACCGAAAGCGAAAGCAGUACGCUGGCGCAUGUUUGACACUGAAGCACGAAAGCGU
rnacentral:rRNA from 1 species